CCCUUAGAUGUUCUGGGCUGCACGCGCGCUACACUGAUGCAUCCAGCGAGUUGUAACCUUGCUUGGUAAAGUUGGGUAAUCUUUGAACGCCAGUCGUGAUGGGGAUAGAUUAUUGCAAUUAUUAAUCUUCAACGAGGAAUUCCUAGUAAACGCAAGUCAUCAGCUUGCAUUGAUUACGUCCCUGCCCUUUGUACACACCGCCCGUCGCACCUACCGAUUGAAUGGUCCGGUGAACCCUCUGGACUGAGACGCUUGGGGCAACUUGAGCGUUCUUGGGAAGCUGGGUAAACCUUACCAUUUAGAGGAAGGUGAAGUCGUAACA
rnacentral:rRNA from 1 species